GGAAAGCCUCUGCUCCAUUCGGAAGCCUUGGCAUGUGAUCCCAGAGAGACCAUCAGAGCUGAGUCUCCAACUCCCAUUCUACUCCCACAGAUUGCUUCUCCUUUCCAGAGGCUGUGCCAGUGGCUGAGAAAGAAGACACAUGUGUCCCAAUUGCCAUUGGCAAUUAUCUUCUGAACACCAAGGAACCCAGACUUAGGAAGAGGCUGGUGCUACUGAGGGCACAGGGAAGAACCUAGGGCCACAAAGACAUAGGGAAUCACCAAAUAAGCCAGCCCUGCAGACUGCCCUGCUGUUGGACAGCUGCUAUGUGAACUAACUGUUUGCUCUUAAUUUAAGCUAGGGUGUGGGGGAGUUUUACUUGUUGCUCAGGAUAACCUACUUAAUGUUGUAUUUCCUUUUUCUGAAAAAUUGGACAUUGGUGAAUUCAAUUUCUUUCUUGCUUAUCCUGAAAACAACCUAUGCUUGCUUGCUGUAGCUAAAACCCUAGAAUGGAAAGCAGGAAAGAAAUGAUUUUGAUCUAGUUGCAAUUUAAACCAUAAAUUUGACUUACUACAUGAAACCCAUGCAAUCAAUGCUUCUGAAUAGUAAGUGUGCUACAAAUGGAUAUUAAUAACAAUAAUUAAGAAGAAUAACAGCUAUCAUUGAGGAAUUAUAAUACACCACACAUUGCUUUAAGUACUAUAUGGAUUACUCCAUUUAAUUCCCACAAUACUUGCAUACGAUUACAGAUAUUUUAAUCUCGAUUUCAUAGAGUAGAAGCUGAGACAAGGAAAACUGAAGUUUAUUUUCCUGGGUCACAUGGCAUCGAGUGGUGGGAUUAGGAUUUAAACCGAGAAAGUCUGACUUCAGAGCUCUGCUUCUUCGUGGCUAUUCUAAACCAAGAAAAUAGGAACCAAGAAAGAUGUAACGCCAAAAGGGAAAAUUAAAGAUCUCUUAGAUUUGUUAGGAAAAGAAGACAACUGAUAGAUGAGGUGGAUUUGGGACGAAUGGAUCCAUCAUGAGGCACAAGUAAUCCCUCACAUCUUGUAUGCCCAGGAACACCACUGAGAUUUAAUAAAUCAAUAUAUUCCA